rnacentral:rRNA from 1 species
AGAGUUUGAUCAUGGCUCAGGAUGAACGCUAGCGGCAGGCUUAAUACAUGCAAGUCGAGGGGCAGCAGCUUUGUAGCAAUACAGGGGCUGGCGACCGGCAAACGGGUGCGGAACACGUACGCAACCUUCCUUUAACUGGAAGAUAGCCACCGAAAGGUGGAUUAAUACUCCAUAACAUAUUGAAGAGGCAUCUCUUUGAUAUUAAAGCUCCGGCGGUUAAAGAUGAGCAUGCGGUUGAUUAGCUAGUUGGCGGGGUAAAGGCCCACCAAGGCGAUGAUCAAUAGGGGACCUGAGAGGGUGAUCCCCCACACUGGCACUGAGAUACGGGCCAGACUCCUACGGGAGGCAGCAGUAGGGAAUAUUGGACAAUGGGUGUAAGCCUGAUCCAGCCAUGCCGCGUGCAGGAAGAAGGCCUUCUGGGUUGUAAACUGCUUUUGCCGGGGAUAAAAGAUCCAUGCGUGGAGAAUUGAAGGUACCCGGUGAAUAAGCCACGGCUAACUACGUG